AUUUCGGAAUUUCAAUCUGGCGUUGGUGAGGGGACGCGUGCAUUUGAGAGAGUAAUCGGCGAACCAUUGGAACAAAACCUUCCAAAAUUUUGAAGCCUUCGAGGAGGCUGCGCUUCCAUACGAAGAAUCCAUCGCCAACCUCCAACUCUCAACGAUUUCGCACCGUCUCUUCGCGAUCAUCGUCCAAUUUUCCACUUCAUCCACGGUAUUUUUCAUCUUCCACUUCUGCUUCUCCAUCUCUCUCUCUCUCUCUCUCUCUCUCUCUCUAUAACCCUCUUUCCUUUUCGCUCCAGAUUAAACCCCCAAUUUCCCCGCUUCUUUCGAUUUCCCGGCAAAAUUAAAUUUCGUUUCUAGGGUUUUUUGAACCCCAGGAACUGGAGCCCCUCAGUGGGUUAUCCCUCGCCUUUGAUUGAUCGAGUCUUUGCCGAGUAUAGUUGGAGGUUUGAAGUCUGAAUUGAUUUUCUGGAUAAUGGGUUUUGGUUGUUUUUGUGUUUGAUUUAAUGGGUACUGUGGCCAUCGCUCGAAUUUGAGAUGAGAUGGCUGGCUUCAUUUGCGAGGUCGGUUAUGUUAUUUCUCUGUCUUCGCAUGUUCCUAUUCUACGGUAGAUUUAUGGGUUUAAUGAGAUUGUUGUUUUGUUGUUGCUGAGUGGUUGAUCUCUUCUAGUCAGAGCUUUCACUCACCUGGUUGGAACGGAUAUAGAGUUUGUAAAAUAAGUUCUGAUUAAACAUUAACUGUGUUCAUAUGGAUAAUGAAGUGAUUGAGUUUGAUAUUGGAUUGGGAGGAGGCAGUGGGAGGGAGGGAGAUGACUAUUCUAUUGGUAUGGUGCAUCAUUCCAUUGAGGAUGAAGAAAUGGUUGAUAGCCCUCCUCUGAGUAGCCUUGGUGGUGGCGCUGGCAGUGGUGAGAUAUAUCUUCCUGAGGGUGAUCUUUUGGAUCUUGAACCUUAUGAAGGAAUGGAAUUCGAGUCUGAAGAGGCUGCCAAAGCUUUCUAUAAUUCAUAUGCUCGACGUGUUGGGUUCAGUACUCGUGUCAGCUCGUCCCGUCGGUCUAGGCGCGAUGGAGCGAUUAUACAAAGGCAAUUUGUUUGUGCCAAAGAGGGUUUCAGGAAUAUGAAUGAGAAGCGAACUAAAGAUAGAGAAAUUAAGCGCCCUCGAACGAUCACUAGAGUGGGUUGCAAAGCAUCCUUGUCUGUAAAGAUGCACGAUUCUGGGAAAUGGGUUGUCUCUGGAUUUGUUAGAGAGCAUAAUCAUGAGUUAGUUCCUCCUGAUCAGGUGCACUGCUUGCGGUCUCAUAGGCAAAUAUCAGGUCCAGCAAAGACCUUAAUUGAUACUUUACAGGCUGCUGGGAUGGGUCCUCGUAGGAUUAUGUCGGCACUGAUAAAGGAGUAUGGAGGAAUCAGUAAAGUUGGAUUUACUGAGGUUGAUUGUCGAAAUUAUAUGAGGAAUAAUCGCCAAAGGAGCUUAGAAGGAGACAUUCAGCUGCUUUUGGAUUACUUGAGGCAAAUGCAUUCUGAAAAUCCGAACUUCUUCUAUGCGGUGCAGGGUGAGGAGGAUCAGUGUGUGGGCAAUGUCUUUUGGGCCGAUCCAAAGGCUCGGAUGAACUAUACUUACUUUGGGGAUACCGUUACAUUUGACACUACCUAUAGGUCAAACAGAUAUCGUCUGCCCUUUGCUCCUUUCACCGGGGUGAAUCAUCAUGGACAGCCCGUGUUAUUUGGCUGUGCUUUUCUAAUAAAUGAAUCUGAAGCAUCAUUCAAUUGGCUAUUUAGAACGUGGCUUUUGGCAAUGUCUGGUCGCCCACCUGUGUCAAUUACUACCGAUCAUGAUGCAAUAAUACAGUCAGCCAUUACACAAGUUUUCCCUGAGACCCGUCACCGUUUCUGCAAAUGGCAUAUUUUCAAGAAAUGCCAGGAGAUGCUUUCUCAUGUGUUUCUGAAACACCCAAGCUUUGAAGCUGACUUCCACAAAUGUGUAAAUUUGACCGACUCUAUCGAGGAAUUUGAGUCCUGCUGGCUGUCACUUGUUGACAGAUAUGAUCUCAGGGAUCAUGAGUGGCUUCAAACAAUUUACUCUGCUCGGAGGCAGUGGGUUCCGGUGUAUUUGCGGGAUACUUUUUUCGCUGAAAUGUCUAUUACCCAGCGAAGUGAUAGCAUGAAUUCAUAUUUUGAUGGGUACGUGAAUGCUUCGACCAAUUUGAGUCAGUUCUUCAAACUGUAUGAAAAAGCUUUAGAGAGUCGGAAUGAGAAAGAAGUGAAAGCAGAUUAUGAUACAAUGAACACUUCCCCUGUUCUAAAAACUCCAUCUCCAAUGGAAAAACAGGUUUCUGAGCUUUACACCAGGAAGCUGUUCUCAAGAUUCCAAGAGGAGUUAGUUGGCACAUUAACUUUUAUGGCGUCGAAGGCUGAUGACGAUGGGGAAAUUAUAACAUAUCAAGUGGCCAAAUUUGGCGAGGAUCAUAAAGCUCACUAUGUGAAAUUCAAUGUUUUGGAGAUGAGAGCAAGUUGUAGUUGCCAGAUGUUCGAGUUCUCAGGCCUUCUGUGCGGACAUAUCUUGGCUGUCUUCAGAGUGACCAAUGUUCUUACACUUCCAUCUUAUUACAUUUUGAAGCGAUGGACAAGAAAUGCAAAGAGUAACGUGAUGUUGGAUGACCAUGUGAAUGAUAUCUAUAACAACUAUCUUGAAUCUCAUACUGUGAGAUACAAUACCCUACGCCACGAGGCUUUUAAAUUCAUCGAGGAAGGAGCAAAGACUGUGGAUACGUAUAAUGUGGCAAAAGAUGCCCUUCAAGAGGCUGCAAAAAGGGUUGCUCAUACAACGAGGAAUGAUGGGAAAAAUUAUACAAUCAAUGGGCGUAUUAAAAUGGACCCUGGAAACGACAGAAGCUAUACAUAUCAUAGUAGUAGCAGGAAUCACGACGAGAUAUUGAGUAAAAACAUGUCGGAGGAUGACUUGGACAAGAAAAUCAACGAGCUUACCAAUGAAUUGGAGUGUGCAAAUCGGAAGUGCGACGUUUACCGGUCUAACCUUUUUUCAAUGCUGAAAGACAUUGAGGACCACAAACUGCAAUUAUCUAUUAAAGUGCAGAACAUAAAAAUUAGUAUGAAAGAUAGCAUUUGAAGGUGUAGUAGACGUAUAUAGUGAGUCCUCGUCUCAUCUCAAUACCAAAUAAAUUUCUAACCUCGGUCUCAUCGAGAAGUACGUUAGUAAUGGGGAUGUAAACCUGUUUUUUGUCGAGUAUUUGAUUGAUUCUCCCCUACCUGUAUGCAACAAUUUAGAGGUGAUAGUUUCUUGAUUUACUGUCACUGGAGAUCAAUCACCGUGUUUCUAUUUUCACUGCAAGAUUUUUCUGGCCAUCCAAUGGGGUCCUCAUUGCAGUAUGAUACUCCCUCAAUGGUGCCAGAAACAUACAGUUAUCUUGUUAAUCUUCUUGUUCUUCGCAUUUGAGUUCGCAAAGUCUAAAACGAAGAUUACACGGGAAGAUAAUAGCUGACUUUGAAGAUAGUGGCGAUGUUCAUCUUAUUGCUGGCUUACCUAUUCAGAUCAGUAUCCUUUUCCACAUCAAUUUCUGAGUUGAAAACUGCUGAUAUAUAUAUAUAUAUAUAUAUAUAUGUUUAUCUUAUUGCUGUCUUGAUUUGGGUAGCAAAUAAGGAAUGCCAGUAGCCUUUUAACUGAAUGUACAGGAAAUUCUUUGUAGAUUUGGUAGUAUUUUUGGUAUGGUGAUGAAGUAAGCUGUAGUCUGUUCAGAAAGAUGUAAUUGGUUAGCUGCUCAGUGGUCAGUGGUAGCAAACUAGUUGUAGUUUUAUAUCAUUUUCGUUGAUCUGUUUCUUGGGUUUGAUUUCUGGUUCCAAAGAAAUUUUGAGCUGAAAUUGAAACAGGAAACAGAAUAACUAGUUCUUGUUCUUGUUCUACUAGUUCUUGUUCUUGUUCUUGGUCUUGGUAGAGACAAAGAGACAAGAUGGUUGAAAUAAAUGAACAAAUUCAUGGAUUUGGCUGUC